AGGCGGGAGUUAGAUCGUCCUUUCUGCGGGCGCGGAGCGGAGCGUGCGGGUCUUCGGGGGUUCCUCAGUGGGACUGGGAAUGGGAGCGGGACCGGCCCUUCCCGGCCUGGUCAUGGGGAAACUGAGGGGCCCCUCAGUGGCGGGAAGCCGGUGCUGGCCGAGAAGGGCCCGCCCGGGCAGGGCCGCGCUGCCCUUCCCGCGCCAUGUUGUGGCGAAGCUCCCUGAGGGCCGGUCCCGCUUCCCUUCGGCCCCGGCGCUGAGCGGCCCCGGCGGGGGGACGUGAAGGGGAGAGUGAAGCCCAUCAGCAGGCAAAAAAUGAAGGGGCAGAGAUUGUGUGUCUUCAGAAAAAAAGGGUGAUGCUUCAAACAAAGGCUGCCCACCGAAUGCCUUUGUAACACUGCUUUCCAAGAGACAAAGCCACGUGACUGGCAGAGCAGGAGGUGUCCCAGACCCGAGUUCCUCUCGAGAGCAGGGUUGAGUUCUGGAAUGAUCUUCAAAUGUCAAAGGUCAUAGCUUGAGUUUCAGAAUUCCUGACAAAAGUGGCAACAGCAAAAGAAGUGAUUGGCAGUGUCUGCAUGUGAAGAUUCAUGGAUUCCUCAAAAGCUGAUCAUCUGUGUUUUCUCUACAUGGCUAAGAAGGAUUUUUAAAAAAAGGACUAAAUAAAGAUACCACCUACCAUAAGUCUGAAUGGGGCUCGUGUAGUUGUAGCACCCCAAGUAACACUAUUUUUUAACCAUUCUAGGAUUUAAGACUUCUGUUUGUAGAUCUGGGAGCUGGGAUGGUUUUGUACUUCCUGCAAUUAAAGGUAUUUCUUACCUCCA